rnacentral:rRNA from 1 species
UCAAGCCGGCAGGUGUUGCAUGUGCGGGGUUGUGGGGGCCUUGUGGUUCUGCUGCCGCAGGAUUGGCCAGUGAGAAAUGUUGCGUGAAGGUGAAGCGUCUGGGAAGGCGUACCGGAGUGGGUGAGAGUCCUGUAACUGUAAGCGUGGCACUGGUGUGGGGUUGCCCCGAGUAGCGUGGGACUCGUGGAAUUUCGCGUGAAUCUGGCGGGACCACCCGUCAAGCCUAAAUACUCCUUGGUGACCGAUAGUGGAUGAGUACCGUGAGGGAAGGGUGAAAAGUACCCCGGGAGGGGAGUGAAAGAGUUCCUGAAACCGGUCGCAUGCAAGCCGUCAGAGCCUGUGUGGUGAUGGCGUGCCUUUUGAAGAAUGAGCCUGCGAGUUAGUGAUGCGUGGCGAGGUUAACCCGUGGUGGGGGAGUCGUAGCGAAAGCGAGUCCGAUAAGGGCGUGAGUCGCGUGUUCUAGACCCGAAGCGGUGUGAUCUAUCCAUGGCCAGGAUGAAGCGUCGGUAAGACGUCGUGGAGGUCCGAACCCACUUCAGUUGAAAAUGGAGGGGAUGAGUUGUGGAUAGGGGUGAAAGGCCAAUCAAACACCGUGAUAGCUGGUUCUCCCCGAAAUGCAUUUAGGUGCAGCGUUGCGUGGUUCUUGUUGGAGGUAGAGCACUGGAUGGUCUAGGGGGCUUAUCGGCUUACCGAAAUCAGCCAAACUCCGAAUGCUGGCAAGUGUAGCGUGGCAGUGAGACGGCGGGGGAUAAGCUUCGUCGUCGAGAGGGAAACAGCCCAGAUCAUCAGCUAAGGCCCCUAAGUGGUGACUCAGUGGGAAAGGAUGUGGAGUUGCGUAGACAACCAGGAGGUUGGCUUGGAAGCAGCCAUCCUUGAAAGAGUGCGUAAUAGCUCACUGGUCAAGUGAUUCCGCGCCGAUAAUGUAGCGGGGCUUAAGUUAUCCGCCGAAGCUGUGGCAACCUGUGUGGUUGGGUAGGGGAGCGUCGUGUCAGUGGUGAAGCUGCCGGGUGACUGUGUGGUGGAGUUGAUGCGAGUGAGAAUGCAGGCAUGAGUAGCGUGUGACGGGUGGGAAUCCCGUCCGCCGAUUAUCCAAGGGUUCCAGGGUCAAGUUUGUCUGCCCUGGGUGAGUCGGGUCCUAAGGCGAGGCCGACAGGCGUAGUCGAUGGGUAACCAGUUGAUAUUCUGGUACCGGCUUGUCACCGUCCGUGUCGGGGUGUGUGAUGCUAAGCAUGUGAGCUUGUCUUGGGAGUGUUUUUGAUGCUUCUGGGGUGGGUGAGUGUGUGAACCGAUCAUGUAGUAGGCAAGCUGCGGAGGGACGCAGUGAGGUAGCUCAUCCCCGGUGAUGGUUGUCCGGGGCUAAGUGUGUGGACUGUCUGGUAGGUAAAUCCGCUGGGCGUGAAGGUUGAGGCAUGAUGGGGAGCCCACGGUUGUGGGUGAGUGAGUGAUCCUGUACUGUCGAGAAAAGCUUCGUGAGCGAGGUGGCGGGUCCGCCCGUACCCUAAACCGACACUGGUGGAUAGGUAGAGUAUACCGAGGCGAUCGAGUGAAUCGUGGUGAAGGAACUCGGCAAAAUGCCCCCGUAACUUUGGGAUAAGGGGGACCUGAGCUGUCGUGCACCCGUGCGGUGUGGUGGCGGUGAGGGGCGCAGAGUCCAGGGGGAAACGACUGUUUACCAAAAACACAGGUCCGUGCGAAGUCGUAAGACGAUGUAUACGGACUGACUCCUGCCCGGUGCUGGAAGGUUAAGGGGAACUGUGAGUGUGAUGCGUAGCGGUGAACUUAAGCCCCAGUAAACGGCGGUGGUAACUAUAACCAUCCUAAGGUAGCGAAAUUCCUUGUCGGGUAAGUUCCGACCUGCACGAAUGGAGUAACGAUUUCCCUACUGUCUCCACCAUGAACUCGGUGAAAUUGCAUUACGAGUAAAGAUGCUCGUUACGCGCAGCAGGACGGAAAGACCCCGGGACCUUUACUAUAGUUUGGUAUUGGUGAUUGGGACGGUUUGUGU